rnacentral:rRNA from 1 species
AUUGAACGCUGGCGGCAGGCCUAACACAUGCAAGUCGGACGGUAGCACAGAGGAGCUUGCUCCUCGGGUGACGAGUGGCGGACGGGUGAGUAAUGUCUGGGGAUCUGCCCGAUAGAGGGGGAUAACCACUGGAAACGGUGGCUAAUACCGCAUAACGUCGCAAGACCAAAGAGGGGGACCUUCGGGCCUCUCACUAUCGGACGAACCCAGAUGGGAUUAGCUAGUAGGCGGGGUAACGGCCCACCUAGGCGACGAUCCCUAGCUGGUCUGAGAGGAUGACCAGCCACACUGGAACUGAGACACGGUCCAGACUCCUACGGGAGGCAGCAGUGGGGAAUAUUGCACAAUGGGCGCAAGCCUGAUGCAGCCAUGCCGCGUGUAUGAAGAAGGCCUUCGGGUUGUAAAGUACUUUCAGCGGGGAGGAAGGCGAUGUGGUUAAUGACCGCAUUGAUUGACGUUACCCGCAGAAGAAGCACCGGCUAACUCCGUGCCAGCCGCCGCGGUAA